GACGAACGCUGGCGGCGUGCUUAAUACAUGCAAGUCGAGCGAGGUUACUGUUUUGGAUCCCUUCGGGGUGAAGAAGCUUUAACCUAGCGGCGGACGGGUGAGUAACGCGUGGGUAACCUACCCCAAAGUCCGGGAUAACAGCGGGAAACCGCUGCUAAUACCGGAUGCCUUUACCUUGGGGCAUCUUGAGGUAAAGAAAGGUAACGCUUUGGGAUGGGCCCGCGUCCCAUUAGCUAGUUGGUGAGGUAACGGCUCACCAAGGCGACGAUGGGUAGCCGGCCUGAGAGGGUGGACGGCCACACUGGGACUGAGACACGGCCCAGACUCCUACGGGAGGCAGCAGUAGGGAAUAUUGCGCAAUGGACGGAAGUCUGACGCAGCGACGCCGCGUGAGCGAUGAAGGUCUUCGGAUCGUAAAGCUCUGUCCUUGGGGAAGAAGGCGAAAGCUUGACGGUACCCAAGAAGAAAGCCCCGGUAACACGUG
rnacentral:rRNA from 1 species